CUUCCCGUGCUUUUUAGAACAUAGAUGGCACCAGUCAGGUGACUAUCGAAACGUAAUACGUCACAGAGACUUCGUGUCCUGAUGAUAUGGCGAGCUGCGCCGUCCACGUUUCUCUUUCUUCAAAAGGAUAUCGAACCAUGGGUUUGCGCUCGCGCACGUACCGCCCUUCGGGCUGUGCUCCGCGGGGGCGCCGGACGACCGGCGACGGCCUCUGGCCUGUAUGGGCGACCCUUUCCGAGGCUUUGCUUGGGAUUGGCGUCGACGCAGAGAGAUGGGCCCGUAGCUCAGUUGGUUAGAGCACACGCUUGAUAAGCGUGGGGUCGGAAGUUCAAGUCUUCCCGGGCCCACCAUUUGCACCAGCAAAUGAGUUUGCUGUAGCGAAUGGGAUUUGCUGUAGCGAAUGGGAUUUGCUGUAGCGAAUUGUGGUUUGUUUGGGUUUACCUGAUCCUGGCGGUUUGCUGUCAGGUGUUUGCGAUGGUUGGGGCUGUAGCUCAGCUGGGAGAGCACCUGCUUUGCAAGCAAGGGGUCAGCGGUUCGAUCCCGCUCAGCUCCACCAAAUUCUGUCCUCACGGCGAAAGCCUGCGGACGGCGCGCCGAACGAUCGGCGACGGCCUCUGGCCUGUAUUUGGCGGAUUGUUGCUGGCGGUGAAUGAUAUCCUUUGAAGAAAUAAAAGUUUUGCAUCAGCUUAUGGCUGAUGCGUGUUCUGCAUACAUUGUGAAGAGAAGAUUGAUCUGGAGGCUUCCAGGUGUUUUGGGUUCUGCCCAAGGCGUCCGAGCCCAGUUCCUGUGAACCCAUGGAUGGCCUAGCCGGCCGGAUGUGGUGGAGGGACUGGAGGUAGGAAGGAAGCUUGUCGCUCUGGGUCGUUGUUGUUUGCUGUCUUUAGGGACGGCAUCUGACGGACGACUUGAUUACCGUUGCCUGACCGCGCGGUAUCGGAUCAUAUCUCGAGAAGCUGGUCUUAAGACAGGCUGCAAGCGAGCUGCUCGGCGUAGCUCCAAUAAAGCAGACCUGUCGAACACGUUAAUGGCAUUGUUGGAUUGACUGGGUUGUAAAAGGUAACCCGGUCUGUUGCCGUUCCUUCUGGAGCGGGCAACGAGAC
rnacentral:tRNA from 1 species